UCUGCAGGCAGGCUAACGGCAGGCUACCAAAGAUGUCCCUCUCAACACACACACACACGCACACACACACACACACACACACACACACACACACACACACACACACACACACACACACACACACACACACACACACACACACACACACACACACGCCCGAACACACACACGCCCGAACACAAUGCCACCGACAUUGAAAGCCACAAUCAAAUGGCUCCCUGCCAGGUAAUUGUGUGUGUGUGUGUGUGUGUGUGUGUGUGUGUAUGGAUGUCUGACCCGCUAUCUCUGUUCCGAGCAGCACAGUCAAUGCCUAUUCAGGACGGUCUUUGUGUGCCCUCUCUCUCUCUCUCUCUCUCUCUCUCUCUCUCUCUCUCUCUCUCUCUCUCUCUCUCUCUCUCUCUCUCUCUCUCUCGCAAACACAAUCUCUCCAAUGUACCACUUUACCAUUAGACACACACACACUCGCACACCUUACACACAAAAGUCUCUUUCUCUCACGCUCGCUAUAUCUCUCUUACUCUCAGUCAUUCCUUCACUCACUAACUCUCACACACACACACACACACACACACACACACACACACACACACACACACACACACACACACACACACACACACACACACACACACACACACACACACACACACACACACA